UCAGCGCAGAGCCCGACACGGGGCUCGAUCCCACAAACCUGUGAGAUCCUGACAUGAGCUGAAACCAAGAACAUGCUCAGGAACUUCCAAGAGUGUUGACGACGCCACCCGGCAAAGCCUCCCGCUGACGCAGAGCCGUGGGCCUCUGCCCUCAGUGACUCCGAGGGGGACGAAUGGACCCUAAGGAAGGUGGCGGCCCUGGUCUGCCAGAGUGAGGGGGUCUCUGGGGCCUGACUGGGGACGUGCCGGUGGGUGGAUAUCAACGUCAGCCACCACUACUGACGCAAGUGGGGCUGGGAGCCGGCCGCCCGAGGAGGGAUGAGCUGUUACGCGCCCGCCGUGUCAGUACAGCUCAGCAGGAUCCGGUGAGCGCCACGGGGCCCCAGCGGAAGUCACACCCAGCCCCGCCAGAUGCAGUAAAGCUCUCUAUGGACCAUUUUUAUAAGCAGAUUGCGUCUGGAGAGAAUAGGUGUCCCCCCCCCCAAGGCCGCAGAGCCCACCAGAACAGUACAUCAGCUCCCUGGAUGGCCCGUGGAGGAAGACAGUCGUAGCUGAUGUGCACAGCCGCUCACAGCCGGCUUCCUCGGCUCUGACGACUUCACGCCAGCCCUCACCUCACCGCACUGACGUGGCGCUUACCUGUUGGUGUUUCCCACUGUCCGUAAUCCUCCUGACAGCAGGGACUGCCUUCGCUCGGCGUCCCCUCACCCGGCACCACGCCUGGCUUGAUUAGGAGCUCGGAUGGUGUUUGAACAUCAGUGUGGAACGUCACGAGCAUCCUCACGCCUCCUGCCUUCAUCUUCCUCCCCCCCCCCCCCCCCCCCCGCCACGGACGCUGACACAGGGAGGGGCGCGUGGCAUUCACUGCCUUAAUGUACCCAAGCCUCCCUCCCCACAGCUGUAAAAUGGGAGUGAUGGGGAGGGAGAUCUCUUAGCCCAGAGCCUGGCACAGAAUAGGCGCUUAAUAAAUAACGUCUGUAAAAGUC